GAUGAACGCUAGCGGCAGGCUUAACACAUGCAAGUCGAGGGGCAGCACGGGUAGCAAUACCUGGUGGCGACCGGCGCAAGGGUGCGUAACGCGUGAGCAACAUGCCCUAUACAGGGGGAUAAUCCAGGGAAACUUGGUCUAAUAUCCCAUAGUAUUUAGAGGAGGCAUCUUCUAUAAAUUAAAGCUUCGGUGGUAUAGGAUUGGCUCGCGUGACAUUAGCUAGAUGGUGAGGUAACGGCUCACCAUGGCAAUGAUGUCUAGGGGUUCUGAGGGGAAGGCCCCCCACACUGGGACUGAGACACGGCCCAGACUCCUACGGGAGGCAGCAGUGAGGAAUAUUGGACAAUGGAUGGAAAUCUGAUCCAGCCAUGCCGCGUGCAGGAAGACAGCCCUAUGGGUUGUAAACUGCUUUUAUAUGGGAGCAAUAAGGUCUACGUGUAGACUGAUGAGAGUACCAUAUGAAUAAGC
rnacentral:rRNA from 1 species